rnacentral:rRNA from 1 species
AGAGUUUGAUCCUGGCUCAGAGCGAACGCUGGCGGCAGGCUUAACACAUGCAAGUCGAACGCCAUCUUCGGAUGGAGUGGCAGACGGGUGAGUAACGCGUGGGAACGUACCCUUUGGUUCGGAAUAUUCUCGGGAAACUGGGAGCAAUACCGGAUAAGCCCUACGGGGGAAAGAUUUAUCGCCAAAGGAGCGGCCCGCGUCAGAUUAGGUAGUUGGUGGGGUAAAGGCCUACCAAGCCUACGAUCUGUAGCUGGUCUGAGAGGAUGAUCAGCCACACUGGGACUGAGACACGGCCCAGACUCCUACGGGAGGCAGCAGUGGGGAAUCUUGGACAAUGGGCGCAAGCCUGAUCCAGCCAUGCCGCGUGGAUGAUGAAGGCCUUAGGGUUGUAAAAUCCUUUCAACGGGGACGAUAAUGACGGUACCCGUAGAAGAAGCCCCGGCUAACUUCGUGCCAGCAGCCGCGGUAAUACGAAGGGGGCUAGCGUUGCUCGGAAUUACUGGGCGUAAAGCGCACGUAGGCGGAUAUUUAAGUCGGAGGUGAAAGCCCAGGG